GCAGCUAUGAAUCAAAGCCAGUACUUUGCUGAAGCUGUUGGUUUCAAGCAGGAACCUAAUAAAAUGUCUUUCUAAGUUCUGUUGAUGUUUUAGAAUUUUAAAAACGGUCAGUAUCUUAGACAGAAACACCU